rnacentral:rRNA from 1 species
CUGGCGACGUGCUACACUGACAGUCACGCGCUGAAAGACUUCAGUCCAAUUAAACGGCGCACGGGUGAGUAACGCGUGGAUGAUCUACCCAUGAGUUAGGAAUAACGGCUGGAAACGGUCGCUAAUACCGAAGACGCUCCGAUUUCAACUUCUUGGGGAAAGGUGGCCUCUGCUUGGAAGCAUACUGCUCAUGGAUGAUUCCGCGUCCCAUUAGCUAGUUGGUGGGGUAACGGCCCACCAAGGCGACGAUGGGUUAGCCAGUGUGAUAGGAUGACGCGGCCACACUGGGACUGAAACACUGCCCAUCACUCCUACGGGUAGGCAGCAGUGGGGAAUAUUGCGCAAUGGGCGAAAGCCUGACGCAGCGGCCCCUCAUGAGGGAUGAACGUCCUCGGAUCGUACACCUCUGUCAGGAGGGAACAACCGCCACUGUGCUAAUCAACCGGGGUCUGACUGUACCUCCGGAUGAAGCUCCGGCUAACUACGUGCCAACAGCCGCGGUAAUACGGAGGGUGCGAGCGUUGAUCGGAAUCGCUGGGCGUAAAGCGCACGUAGGCUGCUUGGUAAGUCAAGGGUGAAAGCGAGCGGCUCAUACGCGGAAUUGCCUUUGAUACUGCCGAGCUAGAGUCCGGGAGAGGGUAGUGGAAUUCCAGGUGUAGGAGUGAAAUCCGUAGAGAUCUGGAGGAACACUACUGGCGAAGGCAACUACCUGGACCGGUACUGACGCUGAAGCGCAAGGCGUGGGGACUAACAGGAUCGAUACCGUGUGGACUACGCGGUAUCUAUCCUGCUAGGUGUCACGCUUUGAGCUUCAGUGUCAUUACUGGUCCA